rnacentral:SRP_RNA from 1 species
GGCGGGUCUCCCCGCAUUGUGGCGCGGUGAAUCUGGUCAGGUCCGGAAGGAAGCAGCCACAGCCGAUGUCCGCAAGUGCCGGGGGCCAGGCUCGCCACC